rnacentral:piRNA from 1 species
UGACUUGGUCCAGAUUUGAAGACAGUGC